rnacentral:lncRNA from 1 species
GAGCAAUAACACAGCCUCCUGGCGCGCCGCUCUGGGCCGCAAUCUAAAGUCUGUCCAGGUCCAAGAUUGGAGCAAUCGAAACACGGCGUUCCAUUCUUGGGCUCCCCAUCCUGGACAUUGCUACCCUCAGGACCAUCAUUAAGGAACAUGGAACUGGAUGUGUGUAUAUGUGUAUCCAAGAAACAAGAAUUGCAAAGAUUUUAACGAUCACCAACAGUAUUGGGACUGCUAAUUGAAGAGGAACUGACAUCAAGCCAAAAAAAAAUUAAAGUCGGUCACCAAUAGGAGUUGAGGCUACUGCCUCUUUUUGUCCAAAUCCAACUGGAAGUCAGAAGGUAUCUGAGGAAAAGACACACAGGAGGCAAUGGUACACAGUGGAACGUGUAACCAGGCCACUUUGAACUUGAAGUCUAGUGAAGUUCUCCAGUGACAAAUACUUGACUAAUGUGGAAAUAUAGUCUCAUUUACGCCAAAGACAGAAAGAAAAAUGUCAGACAGUCUCUUCCUAAAGGCCACAGAUGCAACUCCACCUCUUUGUAGCCUGUGAUAAAUAAACAUGUUUGUAUGAGCACGCAUUGGUAUAACAAAGCUUUAGUUCUGGAGCUCUCUCUAGGGCAUCUCUGCAUCCGUGGCUGCCCAGGCAUCCUGCUACUUUGCAUCCAGGAAACCGCAGGCUCUUCCUUGGAGCUGAAAGCCCUAGUCUUCUUCAGAGGGAAAAAUACGUGUAUUGAAUCCAAAAAUGCGUUUAUCACUCUAACAAG